rnacentral:lncRNA from 1 species
UUCUUUUUUAUGGUUAUGUAGUAUUCCAUGGUGUAUGUGUGGAAAUCUUUAAACAUUUAUGAAAUGAAACAGUAGAAUGAGCCCCAUCAAUCAACUACAGCCCGUCUGGAUAAUCAUGGUUGAUCUUCACAUCUCAAGAUCUUAAUCACAUCUGCAAAGUCUGUUCUUCCAUGUAAAGAAUUUUACUUGCAGUUACCUAAAAUUGUAAACAACUGCUCUUCAACAAGAGGAUAAAUUUACAGUACAUCCACAUAAUGGAAUACCAUUCAGCAUUAACAAGGAAUGAGCUAUUGAUAUGCACAACACCGGGGUGAGUCUCAGACAUUAUGCUAAAUGAAAGAAACCAAACAAGCAGCUAUGUAUUUUGUGAUUCCAUUUAUGUGACAUUCUUGAAAAGGCAAAACUUUGGGGAACAGAAAAGAGAUUUGUGGCUGCUUGGGAGUUGAACUUUAAAGGGUCAUGUGGGAGGUUUUGGGAGUAAUUAAAUUGUAUAUUUUGGUAAUGGUUACAUGAUUAUAUGUAUUUGUAAAAACUCAGAACUAUACACCAAAAAGAUGAAUUUAAUUUUAUGUAAGCUUUAAAAAGUUUUUUUUUUUCUUUUUUUUUUCCGAAAGCCAAGGAAUCAAUCAAAACUGAUGCCCAUAAAAGGCAGGAAAAUGAAGAACAGUUAAUACUUGGUACAAAUAGAAAAUUGCAAGCUGAUGGACUUGAAUCAACUAAAUCAGUAAUUCAAUAAUUACAUUAAAUCUUUUUUUGAACAGUCUCACUCUGUCACUCAGGCUGGAGUGCAGUGGUGGCGAUCUCGGCUCACUGCAACCUCUGCCCUUGGGUUCAAGCAAUUCUCCUGCCUCAGCCUCUCAAGUAGCUGGGACUAAAGGCACGCGCCACCACACCUGGCUAAUUUUUUGUAUUUUUAGUAGAGACAGGGUUUCACCAUGUUGGCCAGGCCAGUGUUGAACUCCUGGCUUCAAGUGAUCCACCCGAGUCAGCCUUCCAAAGUGCUGGGAUUGCAGGUGUGAGCCACUGUGCCUGGCCCAUUAAAUCUUAAUGGACCAGAUACUCCAAUUGUCAGAUUAAAAGAAUAAGAUCCAACUAUAUGCUAUUUACACACACUUUAAAUAUAAGGACACAAGGAAAAGUAAAAAGAAAAAGGUAAAAGAUAGAACAUGAAACUUUGAUUUGAAGGAAGCUGUAAAGCCAGGCCUGGUGGCUCAUCCCUGUAAUCCCAGCACUUUGGGAGGCUGAGGCAGGUGGAUUGCUUGAGUUCAGGA